rnacentral:lncRNA from 1 species
UCUUGACCCCCUCGGCCAGUUUAUAGGGUAUUUUCAGUACAAGGAGCCCCAUCAGACUGAAGACGAAGCAUUUUGUGAUUAUGAUGAUUGCUCUCAUAAAAGAUUGUUCGAAUGAUGGUGUAUUGUGUCAUCAAAGUCAGGGUUUCAUCACUAUUUAAAGGCCUCGAAGGGCAACCGAAACGCCGCCCAUAAGGCGAAGUUAUUAGACCGAGAGGAUGAUACACUCAAGAGUCGGUUCAACGCCUUACUUUGUCGAAUGGGGGCCGUGAAUGUGGACCAUGACGUUUCAUUGACCAACCAGAUCCUGUUACGAAUCGUUAUUUAACAUGUGGCGAGUCUAGCGCAAUCCGUGCAGGAAUGCGAAGUGUCCUUAUGACCCGGCCAGGUGGAUCAGCAUUUGCAAAGACUCAAAGAAAACGUUCACUUAACAAGAGAUAAGUCCCCCAACCGAGAUCAAAGCACGAAGGAAAUGGUAAAAAACAAUCAGACCGAAAGCCACAAUGAAAUAACUGUUCAAGUCCUUACAAGUCACAAAUUAAGAUUUGAUAACCAGGUUUUCAUUCACCCUCGGCUUUUACAACUCGAUCGGCCUCGGCCUCCCAACUCGGUCCUAUCAUAGUCUCCUCCGCAUCCCUGCUUGAGUUCCACUGCCCGUAGUGUUAGUAUUUCCCUCAUCAUCAGGUAGGGUUGCAUAUUUCCUCUUCGUUGACGUCCGGGCAGGUUGAUUGGUGAAAUGCUCUCCGAGAGACGGAGUUUGGACUGGAGGGGAUGAGACACCACGCGGGAUGAUCCAAGUGGAUCUGAAGCUUCCUUCAAACAAUCGAGCCAUCCCUCUUGAAAAAUGCGGGGCGUGCUCGGCUAGCUGUCUUUCUACACGUCCCCGAGCCCGUUCUAAAGCGCGGAUCGAACACUUCUUGUACACUUCACCACAAGCGCAGCCUUCGGUCGGACGCUUCUGGCUGGUCGUAGGUUUCCGCUGUAAGGAUCGCGACCUCGUCUGCCGACCGUGCAUCCACGAGCUCGGACUGAGCUUUUUUAAUAGCUCCUUUCGAGUUAUUCGCUCUUCUCUGGUUCGCAUUCUACACGCCUGCUUUAGCCGAAGUGAGGAAGAUACCAGCCCGCUGAAAUAACCUAAGAAAGAAAAAGAGGUGGAUUAGAGAAGAACAGCGUGAUCAGAUUCGUUGAUCAGAAUUGAAAUCUAUGUAAUAUGGAAAUUCUAACCUGGGCCCCCAGCAUAACGAGCUUGCCCCGAAUUCUGUCGUGGUUUCUCAGCAUGAUCCGCGACGUCUUAGUGGAGCAUAACACCAACAGCGUUGCCCAGCCGCCCCACACGGUCUCAUGUCCUUAGAAGUAUCCGCUGAGGUAAUUUGUUUGCCGAGCUUCCACAACGGCAAAUUGAGGGGCCCUAGCUCGGGGUGCCAGCGACCGAUCCUCACCUUUUCCCCCUUUUCCGGUCGAGAGUUCCCUCCUGCGGGCUGUUUCCCUUGGCCGUUUGCCACCCAUCAAAGGACGCGUGAUGGACUGAUCUUCGGCCGGAGCUGGUGGUGGAUGAGACGGGGAGUGUGGGGGGCUUAGUUGUCGGGGCUUGCUUCUUCCAAUCCUCACCUUAGGGGCCAUGAUCUCCGCGUUCCAACUAGAAAGACCCCGAAGGAUGACUACCACCACUGUGAGAGUUGAAUUCCAACAAUCUCCCUCGGUUCACGAUACGACUCAGAAAUCAGAGCUCGGGAGAUUUUAUAGAUUCUUGGACAGGACUAAGGAGUUGGAACCAAGGAGCCCGCAAUAGGGAUUGGUCAACUUCUCGCCUGUUCGACCUCGCCUCUCGUUCAAGGCCUCAUCGCCCAAAAUUUUGAUGUCCCAUUAGAAUAUCUUCGACUCCUGAGGCAGAACUUUUGCCUUCGGCCCUCUUCUAACACAGCCUUCGGAGCUCGGCUGAGGUCCCUUCAAUACUCAUUGACCUCGUCAAUAAGUGGCGAGCUCCUUGGCCUACGAACCUGGUCCGCGGAUCUGGAGAGUGGAAGAACGGGGCGCCCCUGACGAGCGGCUUCGAAGAAGAAUGGUAUACCGGUACACAGGGGACAUGACCUGUAAAAAUCGGAGAACUUUCGGGACCCCACAAUUGUUCACAGCACUAAUGCGGCGAACCCGAUCGCUCUCCUCUAAAAGCUUUGUUGAAUUCUGCAAAAGCAAAAUCAGACGAAACAUCAAUUAUUUGUUAUACACAUGAUCAGUUGGCAAAAUGUUCCACAAGUGGAAAAGCAUCUGAUUCUUCUCACCUACAAGGACGUACCCCUAUGCCUAGGACUGAGAAAGGGGUCAGGUUCGUCGGCAGGACUUCCAUUGACCGAGACCCAAAUAAAGGUCGUUUAGAUACUGAUCUUUUGUUCUUGGGGAAUCCAUUCUAACUAAACCUCGUCUUAGGCUGAUUUUGGGCUUUCUAAGCGAAGGUAGUGAUUGCCUUCGAGCAUCCGGGUCCCUCAGGGUUUUCCUGUCUUGACCACAACAAUACACAUGAAAAUAGGUCCUCAGCAAGUAAAACUCUAAUUCUUCUCUCUACGCAAAGUAAGCCUCGCCCGCCAGCACGGUUUAGACAAAAUUCACAGAGACUUGCAUAAAGGUGAGCCCGCAGAUAAAGAGAAGGGUCUCUAAGAGUAUACUGAGGGAAAAUCGAAGCCCGCUUGUAAAAUGAACCAAGUCCUAUGGGCAUCCCGAUUACCCUUCUCCUUCCACCCAAUCCCGCGUUCCGUUUGGACCCUUGGGGGCCGCUCUAUUACUACACAUCAUCAGGAAUCUAAUGGUCGACACGGAAUUGAGCUACGGCCUCACUAUGCGAACAGUAAUUUGAGCCCGAUGUCAACGCCAUUCCUGAAGUGGAGGCAGAUGGUCAGAGGGGCCUAAGCGUUCCCAAUGAGCGAGGUUUAAUCUAGGUAACCCUAAUCAACGCCAGUCGGGUCCAACCAGACCCUAUUCAACAAUUUGUAAGACGUCGGACUAACGCCAGAGAUUUGAUGGCGCUCUAUAAGCAAAUGUACGAAGAGACAACAGAGAAUAACGACUUACCUAUCGGAUGGGGACGCUCCUUCCGAUGCGUAAAGUGAACCACAGCCGUCGAAAAAAAUGUAAAAGAUGCGAGGGCGCAAGCUACGAUCUCCUCUCGUCUCUAGAAGUCGUCUACAAUGAACAAAAAGUGAGAAAAUGCGAUGCCCUAAAAGAAAGUCCGAAGAUGCGGGAACUGAGCCAAACGCGGCACAUGGGGGCGGCACUCGUUUCGCGAGCGAACCGUCUGACAAAUCCAAUGGAUCAUUGACAGUAUGGCAUCCAUACGACAGCACCUAAGGGAACAAACCUGGGGCGGAGAAACCGAGCUGCUCCCCGUAGGUCGGGAACUCCUAGCACUGUAAAAAAUAGAAGUUUGGGUAUAACGAAGCCUGAGCAUCCCAGUCAAGUAACCUUGGUAAGUGCACACCGAGUUCAAGCGAACUAGGGGCUACUGUAGGGACUGAAACAUACGAAUAUAGGUACCCAGCCACUAAAGGCACUGGGAGAUGAGCCAGAUAGCCUUGACCACUAUACAAGGCUGUCACCUCGGUGGCAGCCUACAUCGCAGAAAACAUAUUACCCAUGAGUCCGAGCUCGGUAUAAGUACAAACAGGAUGCCCCCUACCCAGCGUUGGGAAUACUCGUGAUUAUUCGACAGCCGCGCCAACAUUACACCACAGCUCGGUUGACACACGAGUUGGCUGAAUCCCGACGAUGACACGGGACAUGGUGAUGUUGUAACGACACGCACAAACUGGCACGAUACCACUCAAUCCAGGGCGAGAAAUCCAUGAUCGCGGAAGGAUAACCAACUCCUCUGCAGGGAUGAAAGUGGGUGAACUACCCCCGGUAAUCAAGGGAUCCGUUUGGCGCGUCAGAGAACGCGCCAAGCUAAACUAUAUAAGUUCGGAAGCCAUGUAGAGGUAGGGAAGGCUAUUCUUCUUCUUCUUCUUCUUCUUGGGGAACACGAGAGAGCUCUUUCUUCUCUGGUUCUGUAGAAACCAUAGUUACUGAGUUGAGCUGUCAGGUCCCUCUAACUUGACCGUCGGAGAGCCUUUCCUCCGCAGAAACAGCUCCGGCGGCCGUACUUACUGUUGUUAGGUUGCAAUAUAUUAGGGAAGGCGUCAAGUUGGAGCACUCCAGAGAAGCUAAAGGGUAGGAUAAUCCCUGUGUCUACUUCCGAUUUCCACAUUACAAACUCACCACCCACAAAGGGGUUGAUUUAUUUUGUGAAAUAUCCGAUGAUCAAUUACCAAAAGAUAUUUUCACACAAGAUUUGGCAGGCAAGAGUUUUCGCAACCAAUUUGAGGGGGGUGGUUAAGUUAUGGGUGGUAACUGUAAUUUAUGUAUAAAUUAUUUAGGUUAUUAUAUUGUCACUCAUGUAAUUAGUUUUGUAGUUAUGAGUUUAUUGUAAUUUUUCUUUUUCUUCUCUUGUAUAUAUUUUACGUAAUGAGAAGAAAAUCUAAUUUUUUUUGCAUCACAAUCAAACUUUAAAGAAGCGUGUUCACUUAGUCAAAAAAUAAUAAAAUGAUGGAUAUGCCACGUGAUGUGUCUGGCAUGUGUCAGGGCCUGGUACAAUACGCGUCGAAC